AAACGGCUGGGUAGGAAGCACGCUAGCAGGGGCCUCUGGCCUUGCUGAGGGUCCCUGUUUCCCCUUUUCCUUCCUUUUCACCCAACAAAACCCUGCUUUACUCACCCUUCAAACCAUCUAUGAGCCUAAAUUGUCGUGGUCGUGGAAUGGACAAGGACCCAGUCUUUAGCUGAACUAAGGGAAAGUCCUGCUUUUUGGCGCGCAACAGGGGAGCUCAAGAAACAGGCCUCACUCACGGCAUAUGGAACUAACCACGCCCCUAACUAAGAAGGCACACCUUAGUUGCAGUUAGCACACAAUUAAAGCAACUCUCCAAGUUUUACCUUAAAGUUCAAAAUUGCUAGGAGUUGAAACUACUAGAAAUAUAUUUACAUGCAAGAGUCAAAGAAACUUUGAACUAUUUAUGGCCUUUAAUAAUUAAGUAAGGUAUACUCCUGUGAUCAAGACUUGGAGCAUAUUUGUUUCUCUCUGCCUGGUUCCUCUAGAAAUUGGAAACUAUCAUUGUCAGCAUAACCUCAUUCUUCUUGGACACGGGACAAGAAUUCAGGAUGCACCAAAUGCAGGAACAGAGACCAACUCCGUUUCCCGAUCCCUUUGCAAUCUGCAUUGAACCAUGAGUCAAGUUCUUGAUAAAGGAGUGAAAAUGGUAAGUCUAAAGCAAUGAAAAGCUGCUGUAUUGACUACACAUGCCUUCAUUUCUUCUACCCUGCUUCUUUCAUGCCUGCUUAUCUGAAUGACACCAGGAUGACAUUUAAGGCACAUCUGAAGAUGGGGAAACCACAGCACAGAAUAAGGCUGGGCCCUUGAAUCAAUAAAUGAAGGAGAACUACUCAAGAGAACAAAACCACCAGCAA
rnacentral:lncRNA from 10 species